AGAGUUUGAUUCUGGCUCAGGAUGAACGCUAGCGACAGGCUUAACACAUGCAAGUCGAGGGGCAGCAUAAAAGUAGCAAUACUUGGUGGCGACCGGCGCACGGGUGAGUAACGCGUAUGCAACCUACCUAUCAGAGGGGAAUAACCCGGCGAAAGUCGGACUAAUACCGCAUAAAACAGGGGCACCGCAUGGUGAUAUUUGUUAAAGAAAUUCGCUGAUAGAUGGGCAUGCGUUCCAUUAGGUAGUUGGUGAGGUAACGGCUCACCAAGCCGACGAUGGAUAGGGGAACUGAGAGGUUGGUCCCCCACACUGGUACUGAGACACGGACCAGACUCCUACGGGAGGCAGCAGUGAGGAAUAUUGGUCAAUGGGCGGGAGCCUGAACCAGCCAAGUCGCGUGAAGGAAAGAAGGAUCUAUGGUUCGUAAACUUCUUUUGCAGGGGAAUAAAGUGCAGGACGUGUCCUGUUUUGUAUGUACCCUGAGAAUAAGGAUCGGCUAACUCCGUGCCAGCAGCAGC
rnacentral:rRNA from 1 species